AGUGAACGCUGGCGGUAGGCCUAACACAUGCAAGUCGAACGGCAGCACAGUAAGAGCUUGCUCUUACGGGUGGCGAGUGGCGGACGGGUGAGGAAUACAUCGGAAUCUACUUUUUCGUGGGGGAUAACGUAGGGAAACUUACGCUAAUACCGCAUACGACCUACGGGUGAAAGCAGGGGAUCUUCGGACCUUGCGCGAUUGAAUGAGCCGAUGUCGGAUUAGCUAGUUGGCGGGGUAAGGGCCCACCAAGGCGACGAUCCGUAGCUGGUCUGAGAGGAUGAUCAGCCACACUGGAACUGAGACACGGUCCAGACUCCUACGGGAGGCAGCAGUGGGGAAUAUUGGACAAUGGGCGCAAGCCUGAUCCAGCCAUACCGCGUAGGUGAAGAAGGCCUUCGGGUUGUAAAGCCCUUUUGUUGGGAAAGAAAAGCAGCAGGUUAAUACCCCGCUGUUCUGACGGUACCCAAAGAAUAAGCACCGGCUAACUUCGU
rnacentral:rRNA from 1 species